rnacentral:lncRNA from 1 species
UGAGUACUCUGCUAUCAAGAGUAGCUCAUGAAGGGUAUGGAUAUAAUUAUCCCUUCGAUCUGAGAUUAUCACAGUGACUUGCAAGCAAUUCACUGUACCUUAGUGUCGGACUAUCUGAAUUUCUAAUUCAGUAACGAAAGAUUUUUGAGUGCAAUCAAGUACUUGUCAAGUCGGUGUGUGAGUCAAGAUGGGAUUGAUCCCUUCGAAUAAGUAGGAGUUAAUACAUUAGUGUAUUUCAAUUUAGUAAAAUUUGAGCUCGGAU